rnacentral:rRNA from 1 species
ACUGGGCGUAAAGAGCUCGUAGGUGGUUUGUCGCGUUGUUCGUGAAAUCUCACGGCUUAACUGUGAGCGUGCGGGCGAUACGGGCAGACUUGAGUACUGCAGGGGAGACUGGAAUUCCUGGUGUAGCGGUGGAAUGCGCAGAUAUCAGGAGGAACACCGGUGGCGAAGGCGGGUCUCUGGGCAGUAACUGACGCUGAGGAGCGAAAGCGUGGGGAGCGAACAGGAUUAGAUACCCUGGUAGUCCACGCCGUAAACGGUGGGUACUAGGUGUGGGUUUCCUUCCUUGGGAUCCGUGCCGUAGCUAACGCAUUAAGUACCCCGCCUGGGGAGUACGGCCGCAAGGCUAAAACUCAAAGAAAUUGACGGGGGCCCGCACAAGCGGCGGAGCAUGUGGAUUAAUUCGAUGCAACGCGAAGAACCUUACCUGGGUUUGACAUGCACAGGACGCCGGCAGAGAUGUCGGUUCCCUUGUGGCCUGUGUGCAGGUGGUGCAUGGCUGACGUCAGCUCGUGUCGUGAGAUGUUGGGUUAAGUCCCGCAACGAGCGCAACCCUUGUCUCAUGUUGCCAGCGGGUAAUGCCGGGGACUCGUGAGAGACUGCCGGGGUCAACUCGGAGGAAGGUGGGGAUGACGUCAAGUCAUCAUGCCCCUUAUGUCCAGGGCUUCACACAUGCUACAAUGGCCGGUACAAAGGGCUGCGAUGCCGCGAGGUUAAGCGAAUCCUUUUAAAGCCGGUCUCAGUUCGGAUCGGGGUCUGCAACUCGACCCCGUGAAGUCGGAGUCGCUAG